AACGGCUUGCUAAUACCGCAUAAUGCAGCGGCUCGACAUCGAGACAGUUGUUAAAGCGGGGGAUUCGCAAGAACCUCGCGCCUGAAGAGAAGCCUGCGGCAGAUUAGCUAGUCGGCAGGGUAACGGCCUACCAAGGCGACGAUCUGUAGCCGGCCUGAGAGGGCGGUCGGCCACACUGACACUGACAUACGGGUCAGACUCCUACGGGAGGCAGCAGUCGGGAAUUUUGGGCAAUGGGCGAAAGCCUGACCCAGCAACGCCGCGUGAAGGAUGAAAUCCCUCGGGAUGUAAACUUCGCAAGAAUGGGAAGAAUAAGUGGGGGACAAUACCCCCCAUGAUGACGGUACCAUUUGUAAGCUCCGGCUAACUCCGUGCCAGCAGCCGCGGUAAUACGGGGGGAGCAAGCGUUGUUCGGAUUUACUGGGCGUAAAGGGCGCGUAGGCGGCCACGACAAGUCAGUUGUGAAAUCUCUGGGCUUAACUCAGAGCGGUCAACUGAUACUGUCGGGCUAGAGUGCAGAAGGGGCAACUGGAAUUCUCGGUGUAGCGGUGAAAUGCGUAGAUAUCGAGAGGAACACCUGCGGCGAAGGCGGGUUGCUGGGCUGACACUGACGCUGAGGCGCGAAAGCUAGGGGACGA
rnacentral:rRNA from 1 species